AUGACCGGCACAAUUCGCCACACCAGAUUACGUCGCAAGGCUGCUAGCAACUCAAUUGGUAUUUGCACCAACUCUAAUAGCAGCAACUCCCAAAGGACCAACCGUGAUGGCGGUGACUCAGGGGACAAUGCCCCCCAAAGGACCAAUGCUGGCAGCAAUAACUCAAGUGGUGGCCAAACAAUCAAUGCCCGUGAAGCAAUUCCAAAGAAGAGGGGGAGGGCAAAGAGAGCAAGGACCUCACUAAGAAUGCCUCCUAAUGGUCGCAAGGUCCAACUCGAACCUAACGGUGAAACGCAAUUUAAAUAUCUUGGUGGCAUUCCCAAUGGAUACAAAUAUGGUUCACAGUUGGGAGUCAUUCUCAAGCGGGAAUAUCCAGGUUUAGUUAAGUACAUGGACGAUAGUGGUGUAACUAGAAGCCGCCCAGCACUAGAAUGGGAGGACUACUAUCUUGUGCAUGAUGAUGAAGGUGUUUCCAAUGCUGACCGGGUGAAGCAAGAAUUUUGGCGUUGCUUUGAAGUUGAUGAGGCAAAUAGGGUGGAGGCUGAUCGUAUUUUAGAAAGCUAUGCGAGGAGGAAAGUGAAAGACAUCUUGUACCAAGCUCGUGUGGAUGCAGUCAAGAUAUAUUGUGAUGACCAAGGAGAGGAGCUUGAUGACAAGCUGGCAUGUGCAAGGGAACUAACGUUAGAACAAUACUUAGCUAGCAGAGUUGAUUGGUUUAGUCCUACUGUAUGGCCUCACAUUUGUAGUUAUUGGUGCUCGAAAGAGUUCAAGGAAGCAAGGCGCAGAGCCCAAAAAUCCCGCUUGCAAUCUGAAGAUGUUGCUCAAAAUCGUGGAGGUUCACGACCAUUCACGGAGUGUAGGCAAUUUUUGGAACAUAAGUUUGGACCUGAGAAGGCCACCAUAAUGAACACAUAUGCUGUGAUGAAAUCUGGUAUGAAAAACCUCGAUGACAAUGGCAAUAGUGGUGCAAUCAGCAGCCAGAAAGCACAAAAAUGCCUUGAUGAUUAUUCUACUGGUAUGAAGGAAGCAUAUCCAGAGAAUUGGCAGGACAUAGAUUUGGAUGAAAGGGUCUUGUACAACACAUCAGGUGGCAUGCCUCAUGGCCGUGUAGCGAUUGCAUCCGGUGCUGUGAAGAAAGCUGCUGUUCUUUCCGCUGCUAGGGCAACAAAUCUGAAGCCAUCUAUUUCCAUUGCUUACCGGAAUGCUAUCCAAGAGAAUGAGCAAUUACGUCGUGCAAAUGAGAGUCUAAAAAGGAAAACAGAAAUGCACGACCAAUUGUUCAAGAUGGUUUUUGCAAAGAUGGGAGAAGAUCUACCGGAGUGGUUCCUUCUUGGUCGAUCUAAUGCUCAUACACAGGUAAAUACCGAUUCAUCUCAUGUUAGCUCAGAGGAUGGCCCUAUUGACCAUGACGUCGUCCAUGGCAAUAUUGAAGGCGACAAUGAUGAGGGGAACAUUGGUGUCAACGAUAACAAUUGUGGCUUCAAUCUUGAUGGUGCCUCACGAGGAGGAUCUCACUAG
rnacentral:rRNA from 1 species